UACGUAGGGGGCUAGCAUUGUCCGGAAUCAUUGGGCGUAAAGCGCGCGUAGGUGGCCUCAUAAGUCCGCUGUGAAAGUCAAAGGCUCAACCUUUGAAAGCCGGUGGAUACUGUGAGGCUAGAGUACGGAAGAGGCGAGUGGAAUUCCUGGUGUAGCGGUGGAAUGCGCAGAUAUCAGGAGGAACACCAAUAGCGAAGGCAGCUCGCUGGGACGUUACUGACACUGAGGCGCGAAAGCGUGGGGAGCGAACAGG
rnacentral:rRNA from 1 species